rnacentral:rRNA from 1 species
UACAGAGGUGGCUAGCGUUGUUCGGAUUUACUGGGCGUAAAGCGUGCGUAGGUGGUUUCGUGUGUCGAACGUGAAAUCCCACUGCUCAACGGUGGAACUGCGUUUGAAACUGCGAAGCUAGAGUGCAGGAGGGGAGAGCGGAAUUCUUGGUGUAGCGGUGAAAUGCGUUGAUAUCAAGAGGAACACCGGCGGCGAAGGCGGCUCUCUGGAAUGCUACUGACACUGAGGCACGAAAGCUGGGGGAG